UACGUAGGGGGGCAAGCGUUUGUUCGGAAUUACUGGGCGUAAAAGGGCGCGUAGCGGCCGCCUAAGUCAGACGUGAAAUCCCUCGGCUCAACCGGGGGAACUGCGUCUGAUACUGGGGUGGCUUGAAUCCGGGAGAGGGAUGCGGAAUUCCAGGUGUAGCGGUGAAAUGCGUAGAUAUCUGGAGGAACACCGGUGGCGAAGGCGGCAUCCUGGAC
rnacentral:rRNA from 1 species